rnacentral:rRNA from 1 species
AACGAACGCUGGCGGCAUGCCUAACACAUGCAAGUCGAACGAGACCUUCGGGUCUAGUGGCGCACGGGUGCGUAACGCGUGGGAACCUGCCCUUAGGUUCGGAAUAACUCCCCGAAAGGGGUGCUAAUACCGGAUAAUGUCUUCGGACCAAAGAUUUAUCGCCUUUGGAUGGGCCCGCGUUGGAUUAGCUAGUUGGUAGGGUAAAAGCCUACCAAGGCGACGAUCCAUAGCUGGUCUGAGAGGAUGAUCAGCCACACUGGGACUGAGACACGGCCCAGACUCCUACGGGAAGCAGCAGUGGGGAAUAUUGGACAAUGGGCGAAAGCCUGAUCCAGCAAUGCCGCGUGAGUGAUGAAGGCCUUAGGGUUGUAAAGCUCUUUUACCCGGGAUGAUAAUGACAGUACCGGGAGAACAAGCUCCGGCUAACUCCGUG